CGACGGUCAAAGAAUGUCGGGCACCGCGUCUCGGCCAGAAAAAUGAAAUUCCUGCGCAGUUUCGCGGCCGCCUAAUAUCAUUUCGGCGGAGCUGGGUCGAAGAGUGGUGGAAAUAACUGUCACCGAAGACAAUUUAUGUUAAUGACUGUUCCUGGGCCGUUCCUGGUGGAGGGACGCGGCCGGACCUCGGCACAGUCUGCAGGUCUCCGUGGAGCCGAUCGGACACGCAACUGCCUGCUCUUCUUUCCGCGCCGGGAUUCCCCCACCACGAGCCCCUGCCACCCUACCGGAGGUUUCAACCCUGCGAUGGCGACGCCCAGCGUCGAUCCGGCCGUGUUUCUGCUCCUCCACCACGCAAACUCGGCGUCGGCAUCCUAUGGCGUCCCUGCGUGCCCGUGGAAAAGCGUCGCGAGCCGUGUCCGCCCGAAAAACACCCUUGCAACGGCCACGAAGCAAACGUCGAGAGCUGCACUGUGGAACCCGAAAAUCGCCAGUCAAGUGAGUUCAUCUAAUCGAAAAACGACCCGGACCGUUGACGAAGCGUUUGCUCCUCGAUUUGGCGGGUCUAGAGGGACGCGCAGGGACGCAGAAUCACCGUAGUGUCCUUCGCCGAGCUUUGGAGCAGAACGUCGGAGAGAACGAAGGACCAGUUUCGACCUGUAAAUCGGUUUGCCAGGUCUGCGAAAAUGCCAGUGGACAGUGGUGAUUAUGAAAGAGAGCUCCGCCUUCGUCCUCGUCGUUGAGAAGCGAUUUUUGCUCGAGACGACGUCGAUCGGAUGCUGCCAGGGUACGUUGAAUCGACGAUUGGAAGAUCCGUGUGGACGGAGACUUGCCGCGGAUGGUUUGACGAGCGCAGACUCGUCGGGAAUCCAUUGCUAUCAUCUCGCGACGGAGGGGUGGAACGGUGGUGAUGAAAGCUCUGUCGCGAUCUCUGCCAAACGAAUCCUCGACGCAUUUCAAAAUACCCGACGCCAGAUGGUUUCUGCGAGCGACUGUUAGGGUGCGGAUGUCGAUUGUCCGACGAGGGGCUCUCGCCGGUGAAAGGGUUGAUUGAUGCUGACUCGGCGGCUUUUAUCGCCACUUACACGAUACCUUGCGAUUGACGUUCGAACGACCAAUACUCGAAUUGAAAAGCCGGAAGUCAGCACCGACGAAUUCAAUUCCGGCGAAAUCAACGCGAACGAAUUAACUGCGACGAAAUCAACUUCGACAGAAUCAACUUGGAGAAAAUUAAUUUCGAUAAAAUCAUCUUGGACAAAAUCAACUUGAAGAAAAUUAACUUGGAGAAAAUUAACUUCGAUAAAAUCAACUUCGAUAAAAUCAAUUUGGAUAAAAUCAACUUGGACAAAAUCAACUUGAAAAAAAUUAACUUGAACAAAAUUAACUUGGACAAAAUCAACUUGGUCAAAAUCAACUUCGAUAAAAUCUACUUGACCAAAAUUAACUUCGAUAAAGUCAAUUAGGACAAAAUCAACUUCAACAAAAUCAACUCGAACGAAAUCGACUUCAACGAAAUCGACCCGAGCAACGUCACCCCAACAAAAACAACUGAAUAAAGAAGGGGGAUGACGAUAAUAGCGUCGCCGGUGCUCCCGGGGUGUGGAGGCGCGCUUGGACGGUAAUGGCGGACCAGGGGGAUGAAACGGGUCGAUACAAGCAAAGCCCUUGGAACUUCCAGCGACCGCCGUUCUCUCCGCCUAUCGGAAUCCAUGGAUCGCUCGAAUACGCCCUCUGGAAGGGGUGCUUUCAAUUCCACGCUGCCCCGUUGUGUAAACAUCAACGGAACAGGAUGACCAAGUAACCUGGAAACGCAAGGUACAUCGACAUCGUCAGCGCUCAAAUAAAAGGAGCUGUACCGCUAAGGAAUAAGAAGAGAAAGAGGACGAAGGAGAACACGACCUUGCUAGCAUUCAGCUGUGUCAUCCGUGAGCCGUUAACGCUCAGGUGCCUUCGAUCCCAGGGACGAGCAUCAAUCA